GACGAACGCUGGCGGCAUGCCUAACACAUGCAAGUCGAGCGAGCUGAUCCCUUCGGGGUGAAGCUAGCGGCGGACGGGUGAGUAACACGUGGGCAACCUGCCUCAUAGAGGGGAAUAGCCUCCCGAAAGGGAGAUUAAUACCGCAUAAGAUUGUAGCUUCGCAUGAAGUAGCAAUUAAAGGAGCAAUCCGCUAUGAGAUGGGCCCGCGGCGCAUUAGCUAGUUGGUGAGGUAACGGCUCACCAAGGCGACGAUGCGUAGCCGACCUGAGAGGGUGAUCGGCCACAUUGGGACUGAGACACGGCCCAGACUCCUACGGGAGGCAGCAGUGGGGAAUAUUUCACAAUGGGGGAAACCCUGAUGCAGCAAUGCCGCGUGAGUGAUGACGGCCUUCGGGUUGUAAAGCUCUGUCUUCAGGGACGAUAAUGACGGUACCUGAGGAGGAAGCCACGGCUAACUACGUGCCAGCCGCCGCCGUAA
rnacentral:rRNA from 1 species